UACGGGGGGGGCAAGCGUUGUUCGGAAUUACUGGGCGUAAAGGGCUCGUAGGCGGCCAACUAAGUCCGACGUGAAAUCCCAAAGCUUAACUUUGGAACUGCGUCGGAUACUGGAUGGCUUGAAUUCGGGAGAGGGAUGCAGAAUUCCAGGUGUAGCGGUGAAAUGCGUAGAUAUCUGGAGGAAUACCGGUGGCGAAGGCGGCAUCCUGGACCGACAUUGACGCUGAGGAGCGAAAGCUAGGGGAGCAAACGGG
rnacentral:rRNA from 1 species